rnacentral:rRNA from 1 species
UCCAGACUCCUACGGGAGGCAGCAGUGAGGAAUAUUGGUCAAUGGGCGGGAGCCUGAACCAGCCAAGUCGCGUGAGGGACGACGGUCCUAUGGAUUGUAAACCUCUUUUGUCGGGGAACAAAGGCGCCCACGGGUGGGCGGAUGAGUGUACCCGAAGAAAAAGCAUCGGCUAACUCCGUGCCAGCAGCCGCGGUAAUACGGAGGAUGCGAGCGUUAUCCGGAUUUAUUGGGUUUAAAGGGUGCGUAGGCGGACAGUCAAGUCAGCGGUAAAAAUGCGGUGCUCAACGCCGUACAGCCGUUGAAACUGGCAGCCUUGAGUGGGCGAGAAGUAUGCGGAAUGCGUGGUGUAGCGGUGAAAUGCAUAGAUAUCACGCAGAACUCCGAUUGCGAAGGCAGCAUACCGGCGCCCGACUGACGCUGAGGCACGAAAGCGUGGGUAUCGAACAGGAUUAGAUACCCCCGUA